UUUCCUUUUGCUAUUUAUAAAAGUGCUUAGCUCAGCUCUUGAAAUCAGGGAAGAGAGAUGUAGGAUCCUUAGUGUAUCCUUUUUCUGUAGUUGUGGAAACAUAUGUAUGUGAUCUGCUCCUUGAACGGCUGACCUCUACAAAGUGAGAAUGUCUCAGAGGAAUAUUUUCUUUCCACAUAUAGAAGCAGUGACAGAACACCAAGAUGGCACUUGUGGAAACAGAGGCUUUGAAAAAUUAAGUCACUGGCCACACAAAGAAGUCACUGCAUCAAGGAUGGGGCUGGUAUAAUGGGUUUAAAGAAGAACUUGGAUAAGGAGAGGUAGGUGCUGAAUCAGUG
rnacentral:lncRNA from 1 species